UUACAUAUUUGGGAUGAUGGGGUGGUGCAGUUAAGAGAGGGUUUGGAGUUGUAGCUAGGAUUGGGUGUUAUAGGAUUUUGCUCCUUCUUUGGUCAUAAUAGCAAUAAAGGAGUGAGAUGACUUAAGUACCUUGUGUGGUGUUGGGGGGUGACUUUUUGUUAAAGGGACUAUAAAUUAAAGUAAUAAAGAGUGAAAUGGAGGUUCCUAAUAUAGCAUCUUCCAAAGCAUAUGCCCUUGCACACCCUCCUAUGUUCCACAUAUGACAGGCACCUUUCGAUUUUCCCCCUCACGUGUCUUCUUUUUUGCUACCCUUGGGAUUUAUUAUAGCCGUGAUCAAAAUUCUCCAUCUAAAAGUGGCUUGAAAAAGAGUGAUAUCUCCUCACUGCUCACUCAAUUUCAGAAGGGGAAGUAGCAAAUGUGGUUUUUGUUAUUAGGAGGUCUUUGAAUUGAAGCAGCAGGAGAACUAUGGGCUAACAAAAUCGACCCACUAUUUUUAUAUCAUGCUUCUGAUUGGAUCACCACUCACUGGAUAUUUGGUUUUGAAAUCUUCAAUUUCUGACUACAAAAUGCAAAUACAGUUUCCAGAGAAAUGACUUCAUUCUUGGAGGGCUGGAUGGGUUGGCUGAUUCAUCUAGAAAUACACACACAGUACAUUAAGCGUUACGGAGGAAACCAACAAGUUCAAAUGGUGUAUAAGACUUGGUCAGUGACAGCGUUAUUCAGUAAUCACCAACAAUGUUAGGAAGUUGUAAUUUAUGGUUCAGCUUGGUUAGGCCUCCUUUUGAUCAGUAUUUCCCUCUUUGCAACUGCCUAGGUUUCAGAUGAUUGCUUGGGUUAACUCUUAUUUUUGUAUUAUUUGUUUCUCUUCCAAAGAUGCUAAUGAAAAUUUAUCUAUCUUUGGCAACAAUUAUGUGUUUUUUA